GAAAACUCCCAACCUCCUUUACACGUUUAUAACCACCGACUACAAACAACAACAGGAACCGUUGAAAUUAUAUUUACUCAUAAACAAAUAAAUGGACAAAAAGUAUGGAUUGAAAUACAAGGUUCAGGUUUGACAGGUUUUUGUGAUACAGUGACUGAAACAAGUGCAGCUUUAUCUUCUACACAUAGUGAGAUUUCCACCAGUAUAACUGCUGAUCCCACUACAGAAUGGAGGACAGCUUCCAGUGCUGAAACCAUUCAUAUGACGCCAUCUGAAACAACAUCAACUCAGUCACUGGAAAUAGCAUCUGAUCCAACAUCAAAAACACAAACCAGUCCAACAGACAGUGGGAUACGUCAAACUGAUAAUGAUAAAGACGUCUUGAUCAUUGUAUUGGCUACUAUAUUAUCUCUGACAUUUGUACUGGUCAUAGUUUUAGCUCUCCUUUACAGAAAGGGCAAACUAAAGUGUAUGAAACAACAUGAUAAUCCGGGUUCUGAGAAUCCAAGAACGAUAACUCAGAUGGAACUAGGUACUAAUUACAGUAAUCUGUCUAAUGUGACCAGAAAGAAUACAGAUAAUACUUACCAGGAAUUAAAAACCAGGAACUCAAAUUCUCCAUAUACUAAUCUUCCAUAUUCUAGUAGCAGUGAGAUGGAAACAGGUACUAACUACAGUAGUCUAUCUGAUGGUAACAAACUUGAUACAGAUAACCAUGGUUACCAAGAACUAUCUGAUGUUAACAAACUUGAUACAGAUAACCAUGGUUACCAAGAACUAUCUGAUGGUAACAAACUUGAUACAGAUAACCAUGGUUACCAAGAACUACAAACAAGAACCCCCACGUCACCUUAUAGCAAUCUCCCCUAUAGUAGUGAAAAUAAUACUUAAACAUACAUUAUGCAAGAGCUAAAUCUGCCAAUUGCAGGUCUUUCUUUAGGCCUGAAAUGUUAUCUAAAUUAUUAAUUAGAUAUUAAUUAACUUAUCUAGACCAUAACUCUCGAUGCCACCGAUAGCCUGCGAUAUUUCCUGGAUUAGAAUGCCAUCUGCUGCUCAACGCUCAUUGAUGAUUAAAUCAAAUAGUGGAUAACCGAGGCUAUGUUUUAUCGUUCCGACUUUAGUAAUGAUGAUCGAGGCUAUGCCCAAAAUUCAAUCGCUAAAUUCUCUGUUUAGAGUGGAUCAAUUUGACUGAAAUCUUCGGCAAAUUUCCUUUACAUUAUUUAGUUUUUAACUAUUAUAGUGAGAACUGUCAGCUCUUUAUCUAAUCUCCCAUAAUGUAUUUUUAUAC